rnacentral:lncRNA from 1 species
AAGGCAGCUGUUACCCAAGCCCUGCACCUCCAUCUUCCCAGAGUCUCGUGGGAAACAGAUUUCAAACAACAACAGACAGCAAGACUGAGAAACUACGAAAGAUCAGCCUGGCUCAUUUACUGUAAGAAUACAGCAUAUUCCCAGCUACUCAGGAAGCUGAGGCAGGAGAAUCACUUGAACCUGGGAGGCCGAGUUUGCAGUGAGCCAAAAUCGCACCAUUGCACUCCAGCCUGGGCAACAAGAGCGAAACUCCAACUCAAAAAAAAAAAAAAUAAAAAGAAUACAGCGUAUAAUGCAUGUAACAUAUAAAAUAUGUGUUAAUCAACUGUCUAUGUUAUGGGAAGCAGUGUUUGGAGCUGAGAUGACUUGGCAGGGAGAAGAAUCCACUGGGACAUUCAAUAACUUGGCAUUGAGAGUGUUUUCAGCACCAUGCUGUCCUCAGAAUAGUGUUAGAAUUUAUAUAAACACAGAUGUGACUUGUGCCUUGAAGGAGAAUACAGUCUUCCCAGGAGAGACAUGCAAAACCAUCAUAGACAAACAGCAAGAAAACAGCAUCAAGGAUGUACAUGCACCGGGCAGAAUGUAAACUGGAUGUAAAACCAAGCAUUUGAGGGCAAUGAGAAAGGAACUUGGUUCUGGUCUCAACUCUGCCACCCACAGCUGCGUGACUAUGUCUCUGUCACACUGCUUCUCAGGUCUUCAACUUUAUCGUCUCAUACUGAGCAAGAGACAGUCUGGACAAUUUAUGCUUCUAGAAUGGGGAGACAAGAAGAAAAGAAAGAUAGAUACCCAAGGACUUCAGUGACUGGCUCAGGAAGAAUUACUCAGCAGUGAGGGGGCCAGCAUGAGCCCAGGGGCAAGAAGCCGGGACUUGGAACAGGAAGGAAAGGUGCUCAGCUGGCUAACCUAGAGGAAAGUGAUUGGCUGGAGUGUCUGGUUUAUCUGUUUCAGGGAUGGUUAAAGAUUGCCCCGUUAAUAGGCAAAAAUUGUUGCCUUAAAGAACCUAGAAUCUAAAGGGGUCUUUGACAUAAUACAGAAUAACAGGUCCCAGAGAUUAUUUUACAGAAUGUUAGUACCUCAUGAUAUUAAUAGAUAUAUAACAAAACAGACUUCUUUGCCACAAGACUUCUCAGUACCUUUAACAUUUUAUGAUUUUCCCAAAGGACAAAGAGUAUGCAGCAUUUCCCAGACUUAAAUUUAACUGUGAACACCUGU